GCGGGAAUAGCUCAGUUGGUAGAGCACGACCUUGCCAAGGUCGGGGUCGCGAGUUCGAGUCUCGUUUCCAAUA
rnacentral:tRNA from 1 species